AACGCACAUUGCGCCCGCUAGUAUUCUGGCGGGCAUGCCUGCCCGAGCGUCAUUUCAACCCUCGCACGCCCCUCCGGGGGCGGCGGUGUUGGGGGCCGGCCGACCCAAGUCGGCCGCCCCCGAAAUGCAGUGGCGGUCCCGCCGGCGCCUCCCCCGCGUAGUAGCAACACCUCGCGGACAGGGAGCGCAGGCGCGGCACCAACGCCGUAAAACCCCCCCGACUGAAGGCCCCCGGGCCGAAGAGUUUGACCUCGGAUCAGGUAGGAAUACCCGCUGAACUUAA
rnacentral:misc_RNA from 1 species